UCAAACAUCAAUAAACACCAUAAUAAUUUUUGACACAGUUCAUUACUCUCUUAACGCAAUGACUUAGUGGGUCCGUUCCUAUGCUUUAACAUUUUAACAUUGUUUUAAUUGUGACGUCUAUUUGUGUACUUGUUUCAAAACUAAAUUUACGAUUGCAUGUCAAUCCUUGAAAAAGGCAUGGAUUUCCUGCCGAAACGUCGGAUAAUAUAUCAAUAAAUAUGGUCAUAACAUCAUAGACAAGCUUUUUUUAUGAACCUAAACCCAAGAAACAUUGGUAAAAAAAUA
rnacentral:lncRNA from 1 species